CUUUCCUUGAGCCUGUUGGCUUUUCCUGAAAGAGACAAGGUGUGCUCCUUGUUCCAGUGGAGGGGUGCUAUAAGAAGCUGCCAUGUCUCACCUGCUAGCUAGUGUAUUUCCUGCAAAGGUUAAUAAAGUAUCUAUUGCUUCCUGGUAACUCAGAAUCCUGGUGGGAUUUCAGCUGCUUUUGCACCACUCUUCACCCGAAUCAAUCUCCUGUAUUUCCCUUGGAGAGCAGAUAGUAUGUGGAAAGCAUGUUUCAGCAGCACCUCUGAAGGAAAGUUCAUCAUGUAAGAAGUUUUAAAUGCUAGAUGAAAUUCCAAUAAAGAAUUGAUAAAUUCCCAGUGCACUGGACUGUUGGAUAAAAUAGUCACCAACAGUGCCAUAGUUGUUUGUCUUCAGACUGAACCUGAAGAAGGCAUUUCUGGU